UCGUAGGUACCAUUUUGUUCGA
rnacentral:sRNA from 1 species